rnacentral:rRNA from 1 species
AGGGGGAGUAACAUCCGGAAACGGGUGCUAAUACCGCAUAGUUUCUUGAUCGCAUGAUUGAGAAAGGAAAGACGGCCUUUGUGCUGUCGCUUAUGGAUGGACCCGCGGCGUAUUAGUUAGUUGGUGAGGUAACGGCUCACCAAGACGAUGAUACGUAGCCGACCUGAGAGGGUGAUCGGCCACAUUGGGACUGAGACACGGCCCAAACUCCUACGGGAGGCAGCAGUAGGGAAUCUUCCGCAAUGGACGAAAGUCUGACGGAGCAACGCCGCGUGAGUGAAGAAAAGGUUUUCGGAUCGUAAAACUCUGUUGUCAGAGAAGAACAAGUUGGAGAGUAACUGCUCCAGCCUUGACGGUAUCUGACCAGAAAGCCACGGCUAACUACGUGCCAGCAGCCGC